GAUGAACGCUGGCGGCGUGCUUAACACAUGCAAGUCGAACGAUGAAGCCCAGCUUGCUGGGUGGAUUAGUGGCGAACGGGUGAGUAACACGUGAGUAACCUGCCCUUGACUCUGGGAUAAGCCUGGGAAACUGGGUCUAAUACCGGAUACGACCAUUGCCCGCAUGGGUUGGUGGUGGAAAGCUUUUGUGGUUUUGGAUGGACUCGCGGCCUAUCAGCUUGUUGGUGAGGUAAUGGCUCACCAAGGCGACGACGGGUAGCCGGCCUGAGAGGGUGACCGGCCACACUGGGACUGAGAGACGGCCCAGACUCCUACGGGAGGCAGCAGUGGAGAAUAUUGCACAAUGGGCGAAAGCCUGAUGCAGCGACGCCGCGUGAGGGAUGACGGCCUUCGGGUUGUAAACCUCUUUCAGUAGGGAAGAAGCGAGAGUGACGGUACCUGCAGAAGAAGCGCCGGCUAACUACGUG
rnacentral:rRNA from 1 species